rnacentral:rRNA from 1 species
AUGCCGUCCGCAAGGACUGCCCCUGGCCCCUUUGCUCCGGCGCUCCUCGGUCGUCCCCGGCCCUUUGCCUGGUCGCUAGGGACGUGCUGCUCCACGCCUGCUCCUGCCGGUGGCCGCCGCCUGCCGCGCCGGCUCUGGCGCUUUGCUCCUGCCAAUCCCGGGCUGCUCGCCUGCUCGGCCGGACUCUGCCGCCCAGGACAGGACUUGCUGUCAACAAAUAGCAAGCAGGCUGGGACAGGGAAAAAGAAGAGGAAGAUAUAUUUCAUUGCAAGUUUCAACACCCAGUGUUUCAGUUGGACUGAAUCAACUCCACAAAUUGGAACAACCAUAGAUUGGACCACCGCCUUUGGCUUCAAACAACCCGCCUUCAAUCUCAACUCGAGAAAGGCGAUGGAUCGAGGUUGGAUGAGUCAACCAAGAGCUAGUGCUGCUUACAAAGAUGGUGUCGAACAAUUUCUGUCUUUUGCAUUCCAUGAUGUUCCAGCUGGUGAUAGAAUUCUCUGUCCUUGUGUAAAUUGCCGAAAUAAAGCUAUGCAGAGUUAUGAUGGAGUGAAAACUCACUUGAGAUGUGAUGGUAUUCUUCAAGGUUACACUAAGUGGGUUUGCCAUGGAGAGGAUUACAGUGAACCAUCAUUUGCAUUUGCUCAUGUAUCAGAUAACAGUGGCAAUUUUUCUAUUCCUGGCAUCCCAAGGAAUGUUGUUGGAGAAGGCAACCAUGGAAGGAUGGAUGACAUGCUAGGACUCUUAAGUGCUGUCUUUGCUAUGGCUAACAGUUGUGAAUCUUUAUCAAGCACAUCUGAUGGUGAAUUAGAUGCGUUGAAUUUGAGAAUAUGGUACCUAAUUCAGUUGAGGAUGAGAAUGCAGAUGCUCAAACAAGGAAGAAACCUAAUACGUAUGCAAGCUUCUUGGAGGAUGCAAACACAGAGUUAUACCCUGGAUGUAAAGCAUUUUCUAAGUUGUCAUUUCUCAUCACCUUGUAUCACAUGA